UUAAUUUGGGUUUUUGACCCAUCCUCCCUGGAUCUCCAAUACAUUUGGUCUCUCCACGGGGAUCCUCACGCUCCCUGGCUGCUUCCAAUUCUCCAUCACCUCAUUGUGAGGUGCCAACAUACUUUGCAGCCACAUGGCAAGUAUAGGAAAGAAAAGGGAGCGGGUCUCCCUUACAAAGGGUGUCUCCCCAGAGUCUUCCAUCAAAGGGUGCUGGUGGAGGGGCCUCCCUCUUGUAUCCACGAUGAACCUGCCGAGGCGAGGGCUCAUCUCCAAUUCUUCAAGGAAAGGCGACCCCUUCAAGAACUUAUGACAAUGUCUGCAGCCUGCAGUUGGACGAAGUGUCUUUCGUAUGUAUGCACGCUUCUUUGUGGGAAAAGUGGAUCCUCCCUAAAAGGACUGUUAAAAAACAAAAUUUAACUGAGGAAAUUUUGAAGCUCUUAUUGGCUUUAUUCAGGAUUCCAUGAAUCAGGCAGCAUCCAAUCUAGCAGACAGAAAGGAGCUCCGAGGAGCUGCACAAAAUGAAAGACUCAUAGGCAGAAGCGAGCUGGAACAAGGAAAUUAUGCUGGACACAAAAUCAGGGGCAGAAGAGAAACUUCUGGGGCAAGGUGUGAUAGGGCAAGUUCCUGAUCGGUGAGCACGCACCCCUCUUCAGUGCCUUUCCUAGCACUGCAUACCCUCUCCCUCCCAACACACCAGAAUUUCACAACAUCCCAUUUUAAUUCCACCCCUGAGACCAGCAUACAGCUCCCUAGGAUGUAUGAACCUGAGAAAUAACCCUUACUUUCUUGGGAGGAAUUUCUGAGACCGAAAGCCCAACAGCUUCUGACCAGUGGACGCUCUGGAACACCUGCCUUUUCUGCUGAAUGCGGCUCCUCCCGUCUUACCCAGCAGAGCCCCUUCUGCAGCCGUCCACCUGGAGCCUAAUGAAGAGCGUGUCUUGGUGCUUGGUGGAGGAGGGUGUGUUUUUCACAGCAGUCAAGAGUAGACCAGUUUAUUAUAAAAGUAAAAUAGAGAAGUCCUCUUAUCUGAUGCACUCAGGAGAGUAGUUGAUGAUGAAAUACACAUUUGCAAAGGAUGCAAAGAUCUAGAAUAUUUCACCUUACUGAAAAGAUAUAAUUUAUUGGCUACUCUUUUGAUUCGAGAACCAAGUUCUGUUCUUUGAGUGAGGUACCCUCCUGAGCAAAUCCAUGUUGAAGCUCAUAUCUAUGUUUCUCUACUUUUUCUUUCUAAAGAAACAUGAAAUCAUUUUAUGAACGUUGGAACUAAAUUUUCUCAUUUAAAAGUCUGUAAUGGCUAAAUUCCCAUUUCAUUAAAUAUUAUAUUUCCAUGUCACUUAAAUGCUUGCCUAUGAUACUGACACAUGGAAAGCUGGAGAUGGACUACCCAUUUUUUCUUUCAUUCUUUGCCUUUUUUUUCCCUUUUGCUAUAUAAAAAGCAUUGCUAUUAUUUAACACUCUUCUGAAAGUUCUAGCCAAUUUUAUAAGUAAGAUACAAUCACUGGAAAGAAGCCAAAUUUAUCAUUAAUCAUAGUUGUGAUGCAAUGGAAAAGCUGUUAGAACUAAUAAGGGUAACAGGAUUAUGGUACGCACAAGUUAAAAAUAAAAGAUACAUGUAUAUGUGUGCAUUUGUAUUUAUGUUUGUGUGUGUGCAUACAGUUUCCCUGUGUGUGCGAAAAUGACCACCUAAAACAUAAUGUAAAGAAUACCAUCUUAAAAAAAAUUGCAACUACCUACAGUAUAGCUGACAUCAGAUAUUAUUUGGUCAUAAGAAGGACAUCAAAUUUUGCUAAGGGACACAAAAAGGAGAUUUGAAUAAUGAUAUGAAGAAUGCUAUCAUUUUAUUUUAUUUUACUUUAUUUUGAG